AUUGAACGCUGGCGGCAUGCUUUACACAUGCAAGUCGAACGGUAACAGGCCGCAAGGUGCUGACGAGUGGCGAACGGGUGAGUAAUGCAUCGGAACGUGCCCAGUCGUGGGGGAUAACUACUCGAAAGAGUAGCUAAUACCGCAUACGAUCUAUGGAUGAAAGCGGGGGUCCGUAAGGCCUCGCGCGAUUGGAGCGGCCGAUGUCAGAUUAGGUAGUUGGUGGGGUAAAGGCUCAUCAAGCCAACGAGCUGUAGCUGGUCUGAGAGGACAACCAGCCACACUGGGACUGAGACACGGCCCAGACUCCUACGGGAGGCAGCAGUGGGGAAUUUUGGACAAUGGGCGCAAGCCUGAUCCAGCAAUGCCGCGUGCAGGAAGAAGGCCUUCGGGUUGUAAACUGCUUUUGUACGGAACGAAACGGCUCUGGUUAAUACCCGGGGCUAAUGACGGUACCGUAAGAAUAAGCACCGGCUAACUACGUG
rnacentral:rRNA from 1 species